ACCGACGAGGGCGACUAUCAGGUCAAGAUGAAGAACCUGAUCCGUUUUCUCGAAGGUGGCGACAAGGGCAAGGUCACGCUGCGUUUCCGCGGUCGUGAAAUGGCACACCAGGACAUCGGUCGCAAGCUGAUGGAGCGGAUCGCCUCCGAUCUCGAGGAGAUCGGGACCGUGGAGUCCUUCCCCAAGAUGGAAGGACGCCAGAUGACCAUGAUCAUUGCCCCCAAGAAGAAGCAGUAAGCAGCAAUAGAAGAAGUGAUCCGACGGCCAGUCCAACGGUCGGGAGGCUGCAAUGUCUUCCGUCGGCCACGGGUUUUCUGAAGAAACCUCGAGCGGAGUUGACCUCAUGCCGA
rnacentral:misc_RNA from 1 species